AUGAUUCCCCUCCCAAAAUUCAUCCCCAGAUCUCGUACUGAUACCCCCUCUUCUCUUUUUGUUUAAUCAGCUUGUUUUGGCAUUACGAUAAAGAGAGAAAGAAACCGGACACGCAACAUCUCCAUUGAAUCCAUCUAAUCUCUCCUCUGAUUGAACGCGAACCAAAGGAAGAAGAACAUAAAUCGGAAGCCAUCCGAUUCUAGACCUUAAUCGGAGCGCUGAAAACCAAUUAAGGACUAACGUGAUUAAGAAGGAAGAAACUAUGCCUGUCAGCAUUGGGUGAAUGGAGGUAGAAACAGAGGAAACUGAAAAUGGUAAUAAUGAUGUAUCUCGUCCCUAAAGAGGCUAAUGAUCAGCCGAAGGAACUACUAUACUAGAAACAAGCUUCUAAAAGGCUAUUGCAGAAUGGGAUACGGGUACUGAUGCGGGUCCUCUUGUAACUAGGCCUAGGCAUAUUCGGUUUGAAUCUCUUCAUGAAGGUAUAUAGGGGUGCUAAACGGGUCAUGUUCGCGGGUUUGCGGGUCAACCCGAACCCGAAAAUUUUAGACUGAUGCGAACCCGAAAAUCAUGCCGUACAUAUGAAUCCGAACCCGAAUAUUCGCAUACCGACCGAACCCGACCCGUUCAACCCGAUUUUUUUUUAUUUUUUUUCAGCAAAUUAAUAUAUUAAAAUUAACACUACAACAAAAAAAAACACAAAUUUAUAUAAUAAAAUUACAUUAAAAUCAUAUAAAUUUAUGUCAACUUCCAUUUUUAAGUUAUAUUUAUAGCAUAAAAUAUACACCCAAUUUAAUUUAUGACAUAAAACAUAUUUUUAAAAAUAUAAUAUAAUAGAAAUGGGUUAAACGGGUCAACCUGCCAACCCGACCGGGUUGACCCGAACCUGACCCGUUUAGCUAAACGGGUUCGUGGGUUCAACCUGAAACUGGCCCGAACCCGUUUAGACUAAACUCAAACCCACGAAUUUCGUGUUAGGUUCGUAUCAUGUUUUCGGAUCGUGUAAAAAAUUCACACCCCUAAAGAUAUAUGCUUAAUAUUUUAUUACAUCUCUUGAUGUGGGUCAUGUUCUUCUCAUUGUGGCUUCCUUCGUAUUGCUCCCUUUUCACCGGUACUCGCUGGUGUUGGGGAUGCUUGUGGUGCUAAUGUUCAUCCCAAUUUAUGAGCGCAUUAUAUGGGGCCUUGCUAUAGCUAGGGAGCUAUUUGAAGCCAAAAUCGGGAAGCUUGUUGAACUUGGGUUCAGUAGAGAUGCAGUUAUACAAGCUUUGAAGCUUUUUGAUGGUAAUGAAGAACAAGCAGCUGGAUAUCUUCUACCUCUGGAAAAACGUGUGAAUCUGCAGUUUUUGUUUUGAUAUUUGCUGGUGCAGCAUUUUGGAUUAAUUUGCCAUUGGUCGUUUACACCUAAAUUGUGCAAUGCAUGAAGUAGCUACCGCUGAAACUUAGGAUAUGAUGGAUCCUUGCCACCAUUGGCCCAACUAAGUUAUGGAUACUUUUGAUUCUGAGCCUGAAUUGACAAACAUUUGUUUAUCCUACAAGUUGUUCCAAAAUUUGAUUUGGAUAUUAACUAAGAUGAUGUGGAAGGCGGGUGUUCCAGCUAUGGACAGAUCAAGCAUAUAUAUGUUGACAAGUAUGUGUGUAAGUUCUUUAUCUUAGUCUACUAGAAUGAGCAUGUGUUAGAUGUGCAAAUUACCAUAACAUGGGGUUUACAAGUAGCAUGAAUAAAACAAUUGGAGGAUCAUACAACAUCAGAAUUGGCCACAAGUUACAAGUUUACUCCCCACCACAACAGCAGUAAUGUGCCACGAACCCAUGAAUGCAAAUUUGCAGCACUUUUAGGUCAAACAAUGAGUAUGCGGACUUGAAGAAAACAGUCUGGAAAUAGUUCUUAGUUUAUGUGUAAAGUCAUUUUCAUUUGCAAGUUUUGUAGAUAGGUUAGUAUUGGUAUUUAAAUUGAAUACUUAUGUAUGGAUUUUGGGUUAUUAUUAUUAAUAGCAUUUGGUUUUUAGUUUUCUCA